UGGGGAAUAUUGCACAAUGGGGGAAAACCGGAUGCAGCGACGCCGCGUGAACGAAGAAGGUAUUCGUAUCGUAAAGUUCUGUCCGAUGGGAAGAUAAUGACAGUACCAUAGAAGAAAGCUCCGGCUAAAUACGUGCCAGCAGCCGCGGUAAUACGUAUGGAGCGAGCGUUGUCCGGAAUUAGUGGGCGUAAAUGGUACGCAGGCGGUUUAAUAAGUGGAAUGUUUAAGAUCGGGGCUCAACCCCGCAAAGCAGUGUAAACUGAUAAACUUGAGUAGUGGAGAGGAAAGUGGAAUUACUAGUGUAGUGGUGAAAUACGUAGAUAUUAGGGGGAAUACCAGUAGCGAAGGCGACUUUCUGGACACAAACUGACGCUGAGGUACGAAAGCGGGGGGAGCAGCCAGG
rnacentral:rRNA from 1 species